rnacentral:misc_RNA from 1 species
AUAAUUAAAACUAAUCGGCACUUUUAUAUAAUAAUAAUGUAAAAUAAAGUCAUUCCAAUCUGACCUAGAAUCCAAACACUUCUUGCAUCUCAUUUAAUGUAUCUCGUUUAUCCACUUUAUUAGCAUAAUUCAAAGUCAAACGGAGAAAAAGGAAAAAAAAGAAGAUUUCUUUACGAAGAAACUAUGUUUAUAACACCGAUUAACUUCUUCUAUUUAAGUAAAAUAGUAUUAUUAUGCACGGAAUAAAUGAAAUGAUAAAGGUAUCCUUGAAACCUUGAAUCCUUGAAAGUACUAUAAUGGUUUUGCUUAAAUAGGCUCCCGUUUGAUGUUUCUUUCUUAGUUUCUGUUAAGACACAAAAGAUGCAAGUAGUCACUGCGGAGUAUCAACUUAAUAUCUGUUCUUAGCAUACAAGAGAAUAUCCAGAAGUAUUUUAAUAAUAUUUUAAGUUGUUUUAUAAUUUAUAAUUUGUUAAACUAAACAUGUUGCAUAUUACUGAAUUUAUUACUUCAAUAGUAAUAAUGAUACUGGUAUUUUAUUUAAUCAAAUACAUAUCAGAUAAAUUUCGUGAACAUAAAUUGAUAAAAAAAUGCUCAGGUCCAAAGCCUUAUCCUCUGAUUGGAAAUCUGAAUAUAUUACUUGGUGAUAUGAAAGAUAUAACUCAUAAAAUAAUAAAAUUAUCCACAAUCUAUUCUUCGCCGUGGCUACUGUGGAUUGGCCCAAAAUUAAUCGUAGUCUUGGAUGAUCCUGAAAAUAUUGAGAUUCUAUCAAAAAGUUCUAACGGUUAUGAAAAAAGUUCUCUAUAUUUCUUUUUCAAAAAUCUUGUAGGUGAUGGAUUAUCUACUGCACCAGCAUCAAUAUGGAACAUUCAUCGAACAAUCUUAAAUCCAGUAUUCAAAGAAGUUUCGACGUAUAUGGACUCAAUGAUAAAAAAUGCUAACAGACUAUCUAAUAUUUUAGAAACUACAAACGGAAAAAACGUAGACAUUAUGCAUUACGUACAUUUAUGUACGCUGGAUAUAGUAUAUGAUAGCCUAUUGGAAAGUGAUUUAAAUUUGCAGAGCAAUCCGGAUUGCAAACUUGAUGAAUAUAUGUCGGAGUAAUAAUGAGAAGAAUAUUUUUAAAUUUAUAAUAUAAUCUAAUAUUAUUGAAUAUUCGUCUUCUUAUUGUGAAUUUUAUUUUUAUUUAGAGCUAUGGACAUAUCUAUAACAAGAGCAAUGAAAUUCUGGUUACAUCCAAAUAUUAUAUUUAACAAUUCAUCUAUGGGGAAACGGCUACAAGAAAUUCUUUCCCCCUUAAAUAAAAUAACAAACGAGAUUAUAAGGAAAAAGAAGAAUUCAAUGAAUGAAGAUAACUUUACCCGGGAAGGAAAAGAUCCACAUGCAA